AUUGAACGCUGGCGGCAGGCUUAACACAUGCAAGUCGAACGAGUGGCGGACGGGUGAGUAAUGUCUGGGAACCUGCCCGAUGGAGGGGGAUAACUACUGGAAACGGUGGCUAAUACCGCAUACUAUCGGAUGUGCCCAGAUCGGAUUAGCUAGUAGGUGGGGUAAGGGCUCACCAAGGCGACGAUCCCUAGCUGGUUUGAGAGGAUGACCAGCCACACUGGGACUGAGACACGGUCCAGACGCCUACGGGAGGCAGCAGUGGGGAAUAUUGCACAAUGGGGGAAACCCUGAUGCAGCCAUGCCGCGUGUAUGAUGAAGGCCUUCGGGUUGUAAAGUACUUUUGGCAGAGAAGCGGUAUCUGCAGAAUAAGCACCGGCUAACUACGUGCCAGCAGCCGCGGUAAUAC
rnacentral:rRNA from 1 species